UACGUAGGAUCCGAGCGUUAUCCGGAUUUAUUGGGUUUAAAGGGAGCGUAGGUGGAUUGUUAAGUCAGUUGUGAAAGUUUGCGGCUCAACCGUAAAAUUGCAGUUGAAACUGGCAGUCUUGAGUACAGUAGAGGUGGGCGGAAUUCGUGGUGUAGCGGUGAAAUGCUUAGAUAUCACGAAGGACUCCGAUUGCGAAGGCAGCUCACUGGACUGCAACUGACACUGAGGCUCGAAAGUGUGGGUAUCAAACAGG
rnacentral:rRNA from 1 species